UAACUGAAGAGUUUGAUCAUGGCUCAGAUUGAACGCUGGCGGCAGGCUUAACACAUGCAAGUCGAGCGGGGGAAGGUAGCUUGCUACUGGACCUAGCGGCGGACGGGUGAGUAAUGCUUAGGAAUCUGCCUAUUAGUGGGGGACAACAUCUCGAAAGGGAUGCUAAUACCGCAUACGUCCUACGGGAGAAAGCAGGGGAUCUUCGGACCUUGCGCUAAUAGAUGAGCCUAAGUCGGAUUAGCUAGUUGGUGGGGUAAAGGCCUACCAAGGCGACGAUCUGUAGCGGGUCUGAGAGGAUGAUCCGCCACACUGGGACUGAGACACGGCCCAGACUCCUACGGGAGGCAGCAGUGGGGAAUAUUGGACAAUGGGGGGAACCCUGAUCCAGCCAUGCCGCGUGUGUGAAGAAGGCCUUAUGGUUGUAAAGCACUUUAAGCGAGGAGGAGGCUACUUUAGUUAAUACCUAGAGAUAGUGGACGUUACUCGCAGAAUAAGCACCGGCUAACUCUGUGCCAGCAGCCGCGGUAAUACAGAGGGUGCGAGCGUUAAUCGGAUUUACUGGGCGUAAAGCGUGCGUAGGCGGCUUAUUAAGUCGGAUGUGAAAUCCCCGAGCUUAACUUGGGAAUUGCAUUCGAUACUGGUGAGCUAGAGUAUGGGAGAGGAUGGUAGAAUUCCAGGUGUAGCGGUGAAAUGCGUAGAGAUCUGGAGGAAUACCGAUGGCGAAGGCAGCCAUCUGGCCUAAUACUGACGCUGAGGUACGAAAGCAUGGGGAGCAAACAGGAUUAGAUACCCUGGUAGUCCAUGCCGUAAACGAUGUCUACUAGCCGUUGGGGCCUUUGAGGCUUUAGUGGCGCAGCUAACGCGAUAAGUAGACCGCCUGGGGAGUACGGUCGCAAGACUAAAACUCAAAUGAAUUGACGGGGGCCCGCACAAGCGGUGGAGCAUGUGGUUUAAUUCGAUGCAACGCGAAGAACCUUACCUGGCCUUGACAUACUAGAAACUUUCCAGAGAUGGAUUGGUGCCUUCGGGAAUCUAGAUACAGGUGCUGCAUGGCUGUCGUCAGCUCGUGUCGUGAGAUGUUGGGUUAAGUCCCGCAACGAGCGCAACCCUUU
rnacentral:rRNA from 1 species